UACGAAGGGGGCUAGCGUUGCUCGGAAUCACUGGGCGUAAAGCGCACGUAGGCGGCUUAUUAAGUCAGGGGGUGAAAUCCUGGAGCUUAACUCCAGAACUGCCUUUGAUACUGAUGAGCUUGAGUCCGGGAGAGGUGAGUGGAACUGCGAGUGUAGAGGUGAAAUUCGUAGAUAUUCGCAAGAACACCAGUGGCGAAGGCGGCUCACUGGCCCGGUACUGACGCUGAGGUGCGAAAGCGUGGGGAGCAACAGGAUUAAGAAACCCCAG
rnacentral:rRNA from 1 species